GACGAACGCUGGCGGCGUGCCUAAUACAUGCAAGUCGAGCGAGCGGCGGACGGGUGAGUAAUGUAUGGGGACUGCCCGAUAGAGGGGGAUAACUACUGGAAACGGUGGCUAAUACCGCAUACUAUCGGAUAACCCAUAUGGGAUUAGCUAGUAGGUGGGGUAAAGGCGCACCUAGACGACGAUCUCUAGCUGGUCUGAGAGGAUAAUCAGCCACACGAGGACUGAGAAACGGCCCGAGCUCCUCCGGGGGCAGCAGAGGGGAAUGUUGCAAAAUAAGCACAAGCCUGCUGCAACCAUGCCACGUGUAUGAAGAAGGCCUUAAGGUUGUAAAGUACUUUCAGCGGGGAGGCGUUGCCCGCAGAAGGAGCACCGGCUAACUCCGUGCCAGCGGCCGCGGUAAUUC
rnacentral:rRNA from 1 species